CGGGAGGGGAGGAGGGAGGGCCUGGAGCCGGCUGCUCAUCAAGUGAGAGUCAGGAUUUUGCUCAGAGGAACAACAAGAUCUGAGAAUAAAUACUCAGAGUACGUCUAUAUGUCAGUCUUCAGAUAAGUUCCAAAGUCAGAACCACAGCCAGCCAGCGAAAGUUACGAGGAGAUGGCUUUUAGUUCAGUAUGUGACAGUGUAAUAAGUCACGCUGCUCGGCUCAGCUGUGGUCCACGCAGCUCUGAGAGGGCUUCAUCUUCAGGCUCUGCAUAGAGCCUGGGUUUACAUCUGAAAACCUCCAAGGUCCCUUUUGACGGGAGCAUUCUCUGAUUCUCCCCCCUUGGAGGACAAGAGUUUCUUGACUUUGGCCAUGACUUUUGAUGGGCUGGAGGAUGGGGGAGCAGAGCAGGGGCGUGGAGGUGGGUGGGGGUAGUGGAGGGCUGGAGACAGAUUCCUGGAGACACUGGGGAGUGGGUUGAGCUUCUGGGAAAGGGGCUGUGUGGUUCAGUUAAGUUAGGGCAUCAGUCAUAGAGGGGUGGGUGGGCUGAGCAGUGGGGACACGAGGAGGGCAGCAUUGUCAUCGUAAGAUCGGGUGAGAGAGGCCUGGAUGGUGUGCUGGGCAGUUUGGGGGAAGGGGGAUGGGGGAUGGGGAUCCUUCAGCAAAGGAUGAGGUGGUGAAUUUCCAGGGACUGGAGUGUGGAGACAGUGGUCAAGGUGGUAAUCCAGAGGUCUGUGAGAGGUGCCCCUGGGUGAGAUGAUUGGGGAGGGGCAGAGUUGAGGCCUAGGGGCGGGUCCACGGAAGGACUGCUCUGAAUGUCCUCAUAAAGGACCUCCUCCAGAGAGGGCAAAGUGGGAAGGUGAGAUUCCCCCCGCUUUUGGGCCCUUGGGUGUGGGCAGUGACAGCUGACUCAACCAGAGAGACUCAGACUCAUCUUUGCUUUGGCUGUAGAAGGGGAGAGUCCCUGUGGUCGUGUUUGGUGGCCGCAUGGCCUGUGCAGAGUCCUAACCACUGGACCGCCAGGGAAUUCCCUCUUUCCCUGGUUUUAAUUCAGAGGAUUUAUAUACUUUCCCUCAAACUGCAGCUUAAUUAUAUACUGGCCUGAUCGCAGGGGACUAAUCAGUGGAAAUUGGGAAAAUUGGGGACAGUCAAACCUUUUAAACGUUUUCAUCUUUCCCCUCCAGUUUAUGAAUAAUUUGGAAGAAGGAAAUGAAUUUAAUACAGAACAUAAGGUUCAAUUUAAAUAUUUAUUUCUUACUCAAGUGGCAGAUUUACUUUUUAAAGCCACCUUUCUUUUGGAGUAAAAGAGAUAAUUUACUUUUAAGUUUAAAAUAAUUGAUAAAGAAGAUUAUAUUUAUUUGUUAAAUAAAAUGUAUGUUUGACUUUAGUAGUGGUUGUGUUAUGCAAAACUGUUCACAGAUAUGCACAAUUAGCUGUAUUUCUGUGAAUUUUAUAUAGUUCCCCUCCUGAUGUCUUCACACGAGUAUGUUUCACGUUCAGAGAUGAUUGGUCCAAUGAUGUCUUUUAUUGAUAGUUCCGAACUGACAUACCACAAAUCCUAACCAUCGUGUAUUCCUGUUUCUUUCUUUUUCUCUAAGUCAUGGAAAGGCUUUGGCCAAAGUCAAUAAAAUUCCAGUUCUUUUGGUAGAAUUGCAGUUUGCACAGCCACUUCUUACUCUUUUAUUCUUUUUCACACACUCUCUCUCCCCCUACAUAUAUGUGUAUUCAUAAAAACUUAUUUUUGAUUUUAAGCUUCUUUCCUCGUGAGAAGUCUGUUAGGAGCUCAGCACUCAUUGUCACGUGGAGGCAGUGUUACAUAAUGGGAAAUUCAUGAGCUGUGUCAUCACACAGAUGGUGGUUUAAAUUCUGGCUCCAGCACCUUCAAGCCAUAUGACCUUGGCAAGGUAAUUAACCUCUUUGAGCCUCAGUUUACAGCUCUGUAAAAUGGGCCUAAUCAUGCUCACCUAAUGGGGCCAUUGUGAGAAUUCACAAUAUAAUGUGUUUGAAGCACCUGUUAAAGUGCCUCCCUAAGUGGAAGUUACUGCUGUUCCUUUUGUUUGUGUUAGAAAACUACAAUGGGGAUAUGAAGUAGUGGGAAUUAUAAAAACUAGGGAAGGGGAAUAUGGAAGGGAAGACUUCUGCGAAAUAAAGGGAAUGGAGUGAAAGUGAAAAGUUAUUGAGGUGAGUAUUUUACCAUUUGAUUUUUCUGCUCUACUGGUAAAUUCAGUAGUAAAGUUACUGAAAAUUUUCUAAAUAUUGUACCUGCUUCCCUCACUGGAUGGUGAAGGAAGCAUUUUACCUAUAGGAUAAUUUAAUUUGGUCUUUCUGACUUUGAAUUUCAUCAUGAUUUCAUUCACCCAAGUUUGUAGACUAUCUGAGAAAUCAUUGUUCUGGUUCCCUGUUUUCAAGGAGUUAAAUGCCAUUCAGACAUAUGUUCAUCUCUUCCAAAAAGUUUUUGAGAAUGGUGUAUGAGUUUUUGCUGCUAAUAACUGAGUAAUAAAUUAGUGAUUUAAAACGUACAACCAUUUAUUUAACCCACAGUUCUGUGGACCAGAAAUUCAGACUCAGCUCAGACAGACAGUUCUGCUGCUCUUGGCUGGGCUCACUAGUGAGUCUGUGACCAGGUGUUGUUCAGCUGGGAAGGUCUCCUUCUGGAGCAUGGCUGGUGAUGAGCUGGAGGAAAGAGGAUGGGAGUGGUCAGGGUGCUGGACCGUGCGUCUCCCAUCACCCAGCAGGCUAGCCCUUGUUUGUCCAUACAGUAGCUUGAGUUUCCAAGAGGGAGACUGGAGGUUCCAAAGAUUCUUGAGUCAAGUUCUGCCCAGUUUCAGAAGUUGGACAGUGUCACUUCUGCCACAUGCUGUUGGCCAAAACAACUCAAAAGGCCAUUCCAGAAUGAAUGAGCAGAGAAAUAGAGGCCGCCUCUUAAUGGGAGGAGCUGCACGGUAUUGAGGACAUUUUUGCAACCCACCCCAGGUAAGGACUCUACAGUCCUCAUUGAUAAGUCAAUUAUAGUUCCUUGGAGUCAAUAUAUUCUUCCUCAAGUCUACCACAGUAUUUUCUGCUUUACUUUUUGUCCUUUUUGGUUUUUGCAUGAAGUGGUAUUCUGAAGACUGAAAAAAGAUGCUUAAGUUAUUACUUCCCUCAUAUUGCGGCCAGAGCUCGAGUUUGUAAAAUGCUGGCACCAGAAGGUUGACCUUGACCCCGGCUUGAUUUCAUCCCUGACAGAUCCACUCACCCGUAUCUAAGCAGUGGCCAGGCAGAGUGGGGAAAGUCAGCUGGAUGACCUCGCUGGAGGCUGCUCAGGUGACCCAGGUUCAAGAGCAGCUUCUUCAUUGUCCUCUGAUGCAGAAGGUGUGUGGGAAAAAGAGCCUCCCCACUUACUUAAACUGGCUUUCUUGGAACAUUUAGACAUUGCAUUGCAGCAAAUGCUAUGCAGAUAAGUUGGUUCCUUAAAUAAAGUUAUGUUGAACUCUUUAAAAUCCAUCAGAUGAUCUCAAGCUGCUGGGUGUGUUUUGGGUAGCCAAGGAGUCAUUUUCCCAUCAUUUUGAGGGAGUAGAAACUCCAGUCAUUUUCUCCAGAUGCUAGACUUGAGAGCUCAGUGGUUUGUCUCCAAGUUCCAGGCUUAAUGGGGUUCUUUUUCUUUUUUUUUAAAUAACAUGAAUGCUCUUCUAACUUGUGUUAGACCAUCAAGUUUGUUACCUAUAGCCUUGGCCUUGUAUGCCUUGGGUAACUCAGACUCCCUGAUUGUCAUCUGACCUGUGAAUUCUGAACUCCACUGUAUUCCCACUGACCCCAGGGAAUUGCAUGAGCAAGGAAAGAAGAGGAAGGGUCACAGAGCUGCCUAUUUCCCUUAGUGACCAUGCAGGUCAGGUACAGUGAUGACCUGGAUUUAGGAGGAAACUAGGAAGUGAUUGAUUCAGUUUAAUAGCUCCUCAAGAUGUAAGUGGGUCAGGCCAAGUAUAGAACAUGCCAGACAUGGUACUUCCACCUUCUGGGAGGAGAUGCUAUAUUGUGAUCUUUAUUCCACCUUGUAUUACAGCAAAAAUUAGUAAGAGCUCAUGGGAAGUGUUUUUGCUUGUUGAUCAUUAAUACCUUGGCAGAGGAAAGAGGUAAAGGUCGUUGCAUUCACACUCUUCUUUUAUACCUAGUUGUCCUUUUACAGGUGUGUAGGAAUUAUUUGGAUUAGCAAAAUAUUCUUCACUUUCUAAAAACGAAGAAAAAUUAUCCAUCGUCAUUUGAAUUUAAGAGUUCUUCAUUAGUUGAAGGGAUGGCCUGGUUGUUUAGGUUGCACUUGCUGUAUUUUUUUCUGGCGGGAGGUAGUCAGGGCUGAGUUGAGGUUUCAUGGUGAAGGGUGACCCCGACUUGUAUAACUAGGCAGCCCCGUGGUUGGUCAGGAGGUGGUAUAGAAGGGCAGGGAAGGCAACAGGGCAUGACUGUCAUUGGGUUUAUCAAGAAUUUAUUUGGCUUCUGCCAUGUCUAGGCACUAUGUCAGAUCCUGUGGUCACAUCCUUGAAGAGGGGGAAAUAGUAAAAAUGCACAAGUGAUAAAGGUAGUAAGAGAAGUAUACGUAAGGGGCUCUAGGUGCACUUUGGGUGCAUGGUGACAUGGGUGAGUGGGAAAAGGCUGGCUUAUGAAGUCAGAGUUUUCUAGGAGGAGGAGGGAGGAUAAUGCAAUUCUGGGCUGCAGAAAUCUUGUAUCUAAAGUCAGACAGAUGUGAUGAGCGCUGUGUUUGGGGAAAUCCAUGUCAUUAUGGCUGGCUAGACCAGAGCAGGGCCUGUGUGAGUGGAGAGGCAGGAAGAAAGAAAGACAACACAUUUUGAGAAUUUUAAUGUACAUCAGGGGGAAAUUGGAUUAAAUUCCCACACACAGUUUUUAGAAAGGCCUCUAUUUUAUAAAAUGAAAUGCUAUUCAUCCUUAAAAGCAGCUCUUCAACAACUAGGUUAAUUGAAUUUGGCCCCUUUCCUGUAAGCAGAGGAUUCCUUUUUCUAGAAAAAGGUGAACAGAUUCUUCCCACCCUGGGGAAUGUUAUUUCACCUGUUAGAAUGGUCUGACUUUUCGGGUGCAACAUUGUACUGUAUGUACUGCUUGUAACAUUCAGAACCUGGAUUGUGAAAUAUGAAUUAAAAUGAAAUACUUGUCAUUGUUAUUUUUUGUUGUUUCAAUGUGGCAUUUCUGGGUUUUUGGCUUCUCAAAAAAUAUUCAGCAUGGCACUCUGUUUUGUGGCUUGUCAGGGCCCCCUAAAUGGAAAAUGUAGAGUGAUAUAGCAGUCUGCAGGGGGCUGGGGUGGGCUUGAGAGCUUUUGUGAAUAAGAGAAAGCUCAGGUUUAUAUGGAGGAAAUUUAAAAAAUGGUUUAUAAUUUAAAAUGUUCAAUUACAUUGAAAUCGUACACUCCUAGGUAUAUCUUAUUCUUUUUACACAAUUACCACUUUUAAAUUUUAUUUUCCGCUUAUAAGCAAGAAACAACUGUUUGUAAGUGAUUAUAAGGCCUUUUGGGGGCUUUCCUGACUCGAAAUUUUAAGUUCCUGGCGUGAAUUAACUGUUCAGUCUCACCACCAAAUACCUGGCACCUGUUAGCACUUGGGGGCAGCAGAAUCUGAGUCCUGGAAUCACAUGCUUUGGUUAGUGUUGUAAGCAUCCAAUUAGGAAUGAUUUCAAGUGCAUUGAAAGGUACAGCGAGAGAAGAGAAAUCAUGCUUGUAGCAAGGAUGUGAAUGCUCCCAGAGACCCGUCCUCUCUAGCUCUGGGAAAUUAUUUAAUCUUUCUGAGCUGCAGUUUCCACCUUCCUAUGGCAUCUGCCUCUUUGAGUGGGGUUCUAGUGUUACCUGCAACAUUUCAGUUCUUUUGUGAAAAUCUGAGGCCAACAUCAGCAGACUGACAUUUGAAAACCCUGGUGGUGGGUUUCAGGGGUAUCUGUGACAUUAUUUUCUGAAUUACUCUUUAUUUCAAAUUAUUUCCUAAUUAGAACAGAAUUUUAAUCAGAAAUGGUAAGUGAAAGUGCUGGGUGCCUUCUCCCAUGUAUCUAGACUCAAUAAGCAUUUCUGAAUCUGAUGUUUGUGUUAGCUUGAGGGGCUUCAGGGGAGAUGAAUGAGGUGGCAGUGCUGAAGAAUGAAUCCUAAAAUUGUCAUUGUCACACUUAUCCUGUGGCUCUUAAGAAACUACAGUGUGGCUUUGCUUCUAUCCAACAGGCUUUUGCUGCUUGCGUCUUAAAGGAAAUGUCUGUGAACAUGUGCUUUUUCUGUGCCUGUCUGAUGGCUUCUUACUCUACAAAGAUGGAAAAUGGGCAAGGAUUUCUAGAGAAUUUCUAAUGAUGGCGUGGUAGUGUAUGUGUUUAACCACUUACAAGAGGCUGGCCUGGUGAGAAUUAGGGGUCAGGAAGGUAAUUGGUUUAUCAUGGCCAAUUGUUUACCUCUAAGUAUAGGGUAGGUAAAAUGGUAGAAGAAUGGUGUCUUUAGCAGUGGCUCUGUGGGAGGAAUGCUGUGCUUUAUUUGAUAUUCAAUAAGAACCCAGAUGCCCGGUGUGGGGCAGAGGGUGGGGAGGCCCCAUCGUCACAGAUGCUGGUUCCCUGCAGUAUUAGAGCAGGGACACCAUGGAACAAGGCUUUCCUGAGUCUGGGUUCUCUGUGGCCAAGAGUGUUGAAUGACUAAGUACAUCUGUGCUUAGGCAAGGUCUGCAAUUUUCCUUCUAGUCGUUUGUAGGUUGAGCCCUUGUCCCAGUUUGCCUGAGACUGAGGAGUUUUGUGAGAUGCAGGAUUUUCGGUGCUAAAGCCAGGAAAGCCCUGGGCAAGUUAGGGCAGGUGGCUACCCUCCCUUCCAGCCCCACUGCCCGUCUCCUCUCUCUUGCCUCCACUCACUGCCACGCAAUACAGUGAGCCUCCCGACAACUCUGUUCACUGUUUCCAGGGACUUGGCAUGGUGGUGGGCGGGGGCCUGGGGAGCUUGGCAAAACAAACGACCAGUUUUUAAAGAUAGGGGCGCUCCUUAAGUAGUUCAAGCUUAAGUCUGACUGUCUUUGUAGAGGGUGACACCGCCCUGCGAUGCUCUGGUUAUUUCUUUGCAGUGCUUUUCCUUUUGCUGAACAUCUGUGAAAAUAGAAGAUGGGGGCUACCAUAGUUAGAGCAGGGGGCAAACAGGCCCCAAGUCUACAGCCCCCUCCCGACUCCCCUCCUGCUUCUCCUGGAGAGCUAUCCACUGUCCCCACCUGCAAGAGCAGGUAUAGUUGUAAACUGUGAAUUAUGUCCCUAGGACUGAUGACUAGUCUUUUCUUUUCAGGAAAGAUAAUAGCAAUUGGAACAAAAUUAAGUAAACAUGAAAAUCCUAUGCUUUUGUCCCCUGUGAAAGUUAAAUGCUACAGGUCAUUUCACGAUUUUAGGUGUCAUUUUCGUUAUCCCUCAUGCUUAAGUAGAACAAAUACAAACUGUAUCUCAAGAUCAAAGGGCAGAAUUGCAGUUAUGCUUGUGAAACUUCAAAAUCCCAGCCAGAAGCCCAUGAGGGGCGCCUCUCAAGGGUUUGAUCUUCUCUCUUUUGAGAGUGACUGGAUUUCUUUUCUCUGUAUGAUUCAUCGAGAAAGUUCCAUUUGUUCUGUGUUUGCUGCUCACAAAUCCCUGCUUUUUUCCUCCUGGCAAAGUUACAUGGCUGUGGGAUCUUACUGGGCUGUGUGAAAACCCAUGAUCAUAUCAAGCAUUAAGCAGUUGCCUAGAAACCAUUACGCAAACAGGAUUAAGGGAAGCACUUUUUUCUAUAUUACAGCUGCUUUCUGAUUAAGACAUGAUGUCAGAAAUAGCUCAGUGUAUGCCUCUUCAUGGCCUUAAAACACAGAUAAAUGAAACAAAAUUUUCAGCAGAGAUAAAAUGACUGCUCCACACUCACAUCUCGAGAUGGCCACCACCAACUCGAAUCUACCCUCCUCCACACCCCACAGACGCCUAUCCUUCGUGGAGAGUCACGUGUUGGGGCUUGCUGGCCGCCCCCCCCCCCUUUUUUUUAAGAUUUUUUUUUUUUCUUUUGCGGUACGCAGGCCUGUCACUGUUGCGGCCUCUCCCGUUGCGGAGCACAGGCUCCGGACGCGCAGGCUCAGCGGCCAUGGCUCACGGGCCCAGACGCUCCGUGGCAUGUGGGGUCCUCCUGGACCGGGGCACGAACCCACGCCCCCUGCAUCGGCAGGCGGACUCUCAACCACUGCGCCACCAGGGAAGUCCUAUUAUUGGCCCUUUUUAAUGAACAUGAACAUAAACCCACACAAAUCUCAGACUCUUAUUGGUCCAUCGAUCCCUUGGACCUCAGCCAGACUGGAGUGUGUGUAGAGGAGUUAUGAGGCUGCUGCAGGGAUCUGGUCACGAGGAAGGAAUGUGUUCUGUGAAGCAGCUCAAUGAUAAGCAGGUUUGCAGCAAAACGUCAUCAGGAGCUUAUCCCACUUUAAAUCAACUGCAGGGAGUUAGAACUAAAUCUCUAACUCUGGACUCUGCUGCCUCCCAGGAAACAAAUUGGGAUGGAAUCAAGGGACCUUGAGAAGUAUGAAUUGAAAGGACUUACUAUAGGAUUGAGGUAUUCCUAAACUCCCUUUGGAAUAAGAUAGUCAGGCAAAUAAAUGAUUAUGGCUGGUUUGGGGUCAAAGGAGAAAAAGGAAUCAGGAAAACCUAGAAAAUCUAAGAGUCAGUAAGUCAGCAGAUAUUUAUUGAGCUCCUCCUAUCUGCCCAUGGGCUCUUCUAGGUAUGUGAGGGGGUGGGGUGGGCAAGGUGACUGUCAACAAUGAGUAAGAUGAACAGUCGUGUAUGUCCCAGCACGGGGGCAGGAGGCAGGCGAUAAAAGCUGGAACAGAUAAAUAAAUACAAUAGUUUCAGAUAAUGGUAAAUGCCAGGAAGAUGGUAAAACAAGGUCUGUGGUACAGUUGGAGGUAUGGGCACUGCCUUUCUGGGGUGACAUUUGAGUUGAGGGGCUGAGAAUCUGAGGGUCUUGGAGUGAUGCCAUAUUGGCAAUAGGGGGAAGUAGGGAAGGAGACUGAGUAUAUGGUAGCAAAUAGAUUGUAGAAAUCAAAACAGAAAAAGAACCUUCAAUGUUGUUGGGUAAUAAAUCGGAUCCAAACUAGGAACAUCCUUUUCAGGUUUCUCAGAAAAGUGAAUCAAACCUCACCAGUCCUCCAGAUGGUUUUAAUUACCUUUGGGGGGUUGCCUAACAGAUUAGUCAUAGAAUUGACAAUGAGGAGUUUUGUGUUUUUCUCACAGAUGUUAAUGGUGGGAGUUUUUUGCAUUUAAAAUUUUAUUUUUAAACCAUGAAAAUAACAUGUUACCAAAGUUGGACAAAUAAGAAAACUCUUCUAUAAUUACACGAACCUAGAGGCACUUUUUAUCUAUUUUGUAUAUUCCCUCCCAGUCUUUUUCAUGUUUCUGGUUUUAGAUAGGUAGCCGUUUAGUUGUAAUGUACAACGUGUUAAAUAUAAGUAACACUGGGGUAUGUUCUAUAUGAAAGUUGUUAAGAGAGAAAAUCCUGAGUUCUCAUCACAAGAAAAAUUUUUUUUCUAUUUCUUUAAUUUUGUAUUUAUAUGAGAUGAUGAAUAUUCACUAAACUUAUUGUUAUAGUCACUUCAUUAUGUAUGUAAAUCAAAUAAUUAUGCUGUGUACCUUAUACUUAUGUCAGUUAUACCUCAGUGAAACUGGAAGAAAAAAUAUGUAGCCCUUUAAAUGCAUAGCAGGCAUUUUCCCGCUCUUCUUCAAAUUUAUAUUUACAAAUUUUAAUGACUAAAUAUAAUCCAUUCUUGUUUGGGAGGUAGUUAUGUUCUAUAAAGUCCCUGUGAAUAGUGAAUUAGUGAAUACUGAAUUAGUGAAUACUGAAUCAUUGCUCCUAGGGGAAAUACUGGGUUAGGUUCCUGUGAGCCUCUAGUCACACAUUUUCAUCAGCUGAUCAAUACAUUGCCUUGUUUUCUGUGUGUUUCGGUUUAAAAACAUCUUAUUUAAUAUACAUAUAUUUUUGAACUCAUGCCAAGAGAACUAUAACUCAUGCCUGAACGAAGCUUACCUAACACAUGUAGUUUUUCCAUAGGGCACAUCACAGCUUUCUUCUGUUCAUAAACCCUAGCUAGCACUUCAGCACUGCACUUGGGGACCAUUUUAAACAGCAAAAUCACCCACAAAAAGAAAAAAAGUGUGAAAAUGUGGCACUAAAUAGACCAUGAAAAGGACACUUGUUUACAGUAUGAGCUGAAAGAAGGCAGAGUGUAGCCUUGUUCAACCUCAGCUGAGAAUGUGCACUUCAGGAAACUCAAAUUUCUACUGCCCUGUGCAUAUUUGUGAAUGACCAUGAAAGCACCACAAGUAUUGAUUUUGGGGUUACAAAUAAAUUUUAGCAAGUAGGUAAAUUUGCAAAUAUGGAAUUUAUGGGUAAUGAGGGUUGGCUGUAUGCUGUUCUACUGACAGACUGUGCCGUGAUUAACUGGACCGUCAAUGACUCACCUGGAUGUGUACACAGACGCGCUUAUGCUCUGGUGUUUGUGGAGCCUCCUUAAUUCCUCCGUACUCCCCACCCCAAAGGAAACAAAUCCUGAAAAAGCCCUACUAGCUCAGAAGCACAGGGUAGGUGAGAAACAGCUGUCUGUCUCAGUAGGGGAUAAUGGUAAUCAUAUCACCUUACAUUUACAAGGGCUUUAGAAUUUGUGAAGUUCUUUGAUGUGGUCUACGUAAUUUGAUCUUUGUUACAAGGACCCGGUAAGGGAGAUGGAACUGUUAUCUUCAUUUUCCCAGAAAAAGACACAAACGUGAAUUGAUGGUAUGCAUACCUGACCUGACCUGUCUCUCUGAAAUGACUCAGGCAUUUUGCCCUCUGCAGAUGCCCGGAGAACAUGAUAUCUCAUUGGAAACCGGUCUCUCUCCUGUGGUCCACCAGUGCACGAUAACAUCCACUUGCAUUUUCACCCUGGAGAGUGGAGAGGCAGUUGGUCUAGCAGAAAGAACGUAGCUUUCACAGUCAGAGGAAGUGAUCUGAUUUCCUGGCUCUGCCCCUUCUUUACCUGUGCAACGUCAGCCAAGUUGUCAAACCUCUACGAGCUUACAUUUUUGCAUCGGUAAAAUGGGGGUAAUAAUAUUACCUAACAAACACAUUUGUUGUGAAGAUUUAAUGAAAUAAUAUAUUUAGCCACUUUCCUCAUUAUACCUCUGAUGAUAAGAACUGUGAUGACAAGGAGCUUAUUGAUAGAUCCUUAGGAAAAAAUCAAUAAGUAAUCUUGAUAGUGACCUCUGUUUCCUAGCAACUCUGCCUGGAGCUUACCACCCCCAACAGAACCAAUAGCGAAUAAACAGUGUGCAUUGGCUUCUGCAUCAAUGAGUAUCGAAACGAAUGUCAUUUCCAUCACACGUUUUUUUCCCCUCGUGUCAGAAACAUAAAUGUUUCAAAAUAAAUAUUAAUGAAGUCUCCCUUAGAUUUUUUUCUAAUCUUGAUUGGGAUGUUGUUAAGCUUUACGUACAUGUUGGCUGUUGAACAAAGUGGUGGAAAAGGCUUGCUUCACAUAACAGACCCAGGUCAAAUAAGUGGUAUGGGAAGAGGUUUGUGCAGCACCAGUACCUGUUCUAUUCAUGGGAAAGUGACAUAUAGGGAAGUGACUGGCACAGCAAGAUCCCCAAAGUAGAUUAAGCCUGCCCAAGCAGCCAGCCUUUGAAAUACUAGAGUGGGAUGAGGGGAGGAGUAGAAAAAGAUUCUGUUCCUGAUAGUUUUGCAAUUAAAUGAAUAUGUGUCCUUUAUAAAAUGUUUUGAGAUCUAUUUUACACCUACAACACAGUUUCUGGCGUGUUCUUCUUUAAACAUCUGUGCAGCAUCAGUAGAAAAUGAAACCCAUCCGUUAGAGCAGGGGUGCCCAACCUCUGGGCCGUUAGGAAUGGGGCCGCGCAGCAGGAGGUGAGCGGCGGGCGAGCGAGCGAAGCUUCAUCUUGCGCUCCCAUCGCUCUCAUUACUGCCUCAACCAUCCUCCCCCCAGCCCCUGCCUUGGAAAGUUGUCUUUCACGAAACCGAUCCCUGGUGCCAAAGAAGGUUGGGGACCGCUGCGUUAGAGUGCUCUUAUAAGGUCACAGUAGACCUCACAGUGGCAGGGAUGAUGGUGUCAGCAGUCUGAAUGCUAAACUCCAGGUCCAAGUGUCUCUUUCUUUCUGAACUUUGAUAGCUGGUGUCUGCCUGAGAGAAAAACGACAUUUGUUUUUGCUGGCUUGGCCUUUGAGAUUACUCUGAGACCGGUGAUCUCUGAACCCUGAUGUGAGCUCGAGAUUAGAUACAGGAAUGCUUCAUGUAUAACUUGUUUGAGAUUUUCCCCAUUUUUGUGUGAACAUCCUAUUAUAUCUCCAGUGACUCAUACACAGCCAUCCUUAAGCUUGGGGCAGCAUGACAAAACUGACACGGGCAAUUGCAGGGAUCAUACUGGCUUUCAUUGUCAUCGCUAGAACUCAUUAGAAUGGCCACUUGCUUGUUAUGCCAUUCAGUCACAGAACAAAGAGGACAAAAUGUAUCUGAUGUGCUUUCUGGGAGCUUGCAGUCUAGGACAGCUACAUGGGUGGGCAUGGUCAGCUUAUUUUCAUGUUUUUCAGUAAAACGCUAAUAUUCACGCCUAUGAAUUCAAUAGGAAAAUUCACACUAGGGAAUUCUUGUGUUGAGCUCAGCACACAUUUGAGUAACCGUGAGGACCCUCUCAGAGGUUAAUAUUUACGUCUACUGAUUCACGUUGGCCAAAGUGAGUCUCUUCUGUUACUUGCGGUGGGUCUCUGCAAGUAGACAGUCUAAUAGUGAAAGUCUAGUAGGGAGAUGGAACUUAGACAUUGAAAUUCUAUUACAUUUGUUUUCUUACAGCUUUAUAGAGUAAACCUAUAGGUGAUAGAGAAGCUUCAGGUAAGUUUUGGUCCUUACCAUGGUGCUUAGAUGCCACUUAGGCAUCAGCUAAGAAAAGUAGGUUGACCGUGAAUCGAUUUUUGGAAUUGUAUAGUACCGGUCUCCGUGAUGGACUAGCGAGUGUGUUUUAGGCAAUUCUAGUAGGCCUUGGGCUACGUGAUAGCAUCUCUGUAGCUCUGGAAUUCAGCACAGUUGCCUGACACACAGUGAAUUCUUAAUACAUCUUAGGUGAAUUGAAGCCAAAGGGACAGAAAGUAAGAGCAAGACACAGGGACACAGAGGUCUGAAGACAGUGCUCUGAUGUCGUUGAUGCUGUGCUUGCUGCUUGCAAAGGCGAAACUUGUGCUUUAUGUUUACUUUUCCCCUGGUCUGUUCCCAAGGCUACGUGUAGAGUUUUUAAAUACCUCUUUUGUGAGCUAGAAGCCCUAAUAAACCGCUUUGUUGAGACUGGAGUAUUAGCACUGGCACAAUUUACUAAUUUUACUGCACGUUACAGACAUCACAGCGAGGUGGUCCAGCUGCACCUUCGUCCUACACACAGGCUGUGUACAGCUUUGUGAGUUGCUGUUUUUCUUUCCCUCUCCCUUCCAAAUGGACUGCUGGUGGCAAAAAUCUGUUUAAACAAAGGUGAGGAAAGGAUCAGUUUAUUACAAGCCCAGACUAAAAGUUAGAGGUUUAACCUAUUAGAAAGCUAAGCUUUGCAAAUGUUGAGAGUAGUAGGAUGAAUGGGGAAAGGGGCACUAAGAUGCAGAUGGUUAUCAAGAGAAUUUUUUAUUAUAAUGAAAAUAGACCCAUGGAAAGAGCCUGAGUCAACAUCGAGAUUCCUCAUAAUCCAGCCGAGCCUAUAUAUGGAAAGUCAGCUUCUUUUGCUUUUAGAAAUACAUGGUAGCAUUUUUGAUUGGUGUCAUGAUGGGGAGGGGAAGCUACUAGUAUUUAGUGCCCAGGGGACCUGUGAUGUUCAGGACAAUGCCAAUCAAUGAAGAGUCUUUUUACCUAAAAUUCCAACAUGGUCUGCUUGAGAACCUCAAGCCCUUCAGACUUUUGGAUUCUUGAAAGGAAUGGAAAAGAAAACAAGAAAUUAUGGCCAUGAAUUUUUUCUGGAGCUUUCUAGAAAUUGUCUAGUCCUCGUUCUCUCUCCACCAUUUCUCAUAGAGGGUCUGCAGAGCUAAGGUUAGAAGGAUAUUGGUCCAUGUAAGGAGAUGUCGGUCAGGAGAAAGCAGUACAGAACUCUUUAAGUCUAUUUUUCUCCAUCUAUACUUGGCCUGUAAGAGUGGAGUCAUUUUUUUCUGACAAAAGCCUGUCUGGUUGUUUUUCUCAUAGACCAGCUGUUCAAAAGCAGAAAUCAGCCAAUACCGUCCAGCUGUUAACUCAGCCAUCCUCAGCGGAACUAAUUCCUUGCAAAAAGAGUCUCGGAAAAGGCCAGAGAGAGGGAGUUGCAGGGAACACUGACUCAGGCUUAAAAUUUGUUUUCAGGCUAUUUUAUUCCUUUAGGCACGUGGAAGCAGAGGCCACCUCCACCAUAACUGAUCUCAAGAUUUCUGUCCGAGAUGCAGGGGGCCUGGGAUACCAGCUGGUCCUAUUCUUUUAUUUUACAUUCUAAGAAAAGAGACCCAGAGAGAUUAAAUGACUUGCCCAAGGUCACAGAGCCAGGUUGUGACAGAGCUGGAUCUAAACCCAAGCCUUCUGAUUUCAAAUAGAGUGUCCUUUCUACUAUACCAGCAGCUACCCUAUUGACUUCUUAUAUUGUUUAUUAAUGAAGCUUUGCUGACUUUCUUUCCAAAAUAUUCCCCACCCCCACUGAGGCAUUGCAUCAUUGUUUCAUUCAAACCUUAUGUCAUUUCUGAGACCGUUGGCUUCAUGGGCAACAGGAAAGAAUCUUUUACAACCAGAAGGCAAAGACUCCCUAUUCAUCAUGCAGUAAGCAGUUAUCCACCACUGUCCAAUCAUGGAAAAAAAAAUGUAGAAGCAUUGUUCUAUAUUCUCUAUGGGAGAAGAGUAUUCAGUUAAGCUAUUUGGUAACAAGUUUUAACUUGGAAUUUGCACGCGUUUCCCAGAGGGACUGCAGAACAUCUUCAGUUUGCUUAGUCUCGUUAACAACUGUCGGCUAAAAAAAGAAAAAAAAAAAGCACAACCUAAAAGUUGAGAGUUAUGUUUUAUUCAGUGGACAAAACUGAGGACUUAAACCCAGGACACAGCAUAUCAGAAAACUCUGAAAGACUGCUCCAAAGAGGCAAGAGGGAGAGCCAGGAUAUGUAGGAGUUUUUGCAGCAAAAGACCAGGUAGUCAGAACAUCAAAUGAUCACUAAAUUUAGUGCUUUUCUAUGUAUGGGAAGAUGCAAGAGUCUGGGCUCACUGAAAUCAUUCCUUUUAUGUGCACCUCAGCUGUCUGGGGCGUUUUCUUGUUCUUAGUUUCCUCAGGGUGCACUGUCGAGAAUGGCUGCAUUGGCUGACUGCUAGAUGGGCUUGGCAGUGGGCAGCCUGUUUGUCUCCAUCCUGAGUUCCCUGAGGGCUCACUGUCAGGGUGGCUGUAAUGUGAUGGCCUGAUGGCAACAUCCUUUGUUUACUGAUAUGGCAGGCGAUAUUUUAGUUCACACAACUCUGAGAUCACUAGAUUCCUUUUUAUGGUCUUUCUUAGAAAGAGAACAUUCUGGCCUCCUUUUUUCAUCUUCCUUAGACAUUCUUUAACUCUUCCAAGAUCAAAUGAAGAGGAGGGACAGGGUUUUAGCUAGGUGACAGGGACUCUCUUGGUGGCAAAGGCACUUAGAGGGAUACCUUUUGGAGCACCUGGACUCCAAUUCCAGAGCAAGGCUUGAGAACCUGAACAUACCCAUCUGUUGGGAAAGAUCUGGCAGGCUGCUGCUUAGAUCAGGGUCAGGAAUCUUUGAGCAUGUCCAGGACAUUUUCUCAUGGCCAAGUUGCUCUGUUUUUCUCCUUUUCUGCUGGUGCGCCAUCAUGGACUCUCAGCUGCCCACUGGGUGAUGAUCUCAUUCUUCUUACUGGCUUACUUUGGGUUUUCUGGCCCUUUUUUUGUCAGUAGUACCACCAAAGAAGGAACUUGAUAAUUCAGUUCGGCUGUGACCAGUUCUCUUAUAAAUUGUUGAGUGAGAGGUGUACAAAAAAUUAUAAUUGCUAGUUAAAAUGAAGAAAGGGCACUGAAGAAACAUAUGAUGUGAUCAAAAUGUUCUUGAUAGUCUACAGAGGAAUUGCAGGGAAUACGAGAGGUGUUUGAGACUGGAGAUAUGGGCCUGGUCUUCAAAAAGGGGAAAAGGAAGAGGUAUCGAUUAUGAAUGACGAACUGAACCUUGAGCCCCGUGGUAAGCAAAUGAGUAAACUAGAAUCUAGUAUGAGAUCACUAAGAAUAAAUUAUAUUUAACAAGCCUCAUAAUUUUUUAUAGUGUUAAUAGGCUGAUAGAUCAGAGAAAUGCUUAAUAAUUUGUCCCAAUUUCAGCAAGGCAUGUAGUAGUAACAGUAAUAAAACAGCUAUCAUUUACUGAGCUCUUAUUAGUGAAGGGAACUGCUCUAAAUGAGUAGAGAAACAUCAAAUUUUGCAUCUGUUUUUGGGAUAAGGGGGCAGGUGGUUUAGCAUCUCUUAACUGCAUCUUCUUUCUUUUAAAAUAAUGGAGCUUGGCUUUCUAAUCACUCUUGUUUCUAUUGAUGGGAUUUGAGUUAAUGGCUCAGCUCGGAGCAGGCAGUGUGGGUAACAGAGAGCCAUCUGGUGCUUUUUCACUCCCAACUGUCCUAUCCUGACCAGGCUGUUGAGUUCCUAGAUUCUAGUACCAUUUGGACAGAAAAGAGGAUUCAUUACCUCAGCUGGUUGAGUUUUGUAAGAGGAGGAAACAUGCAGGAGCAGGCAGCCAACGGUGCCAUGCUCCCACUAAUGGCCGUUGCUAACUGGCUAGUCAAGGUGGAGGUAAGAAAUAACUAUGUGCGUGACCGUGAGGGAGCUUUCAUGUUCAUAGCCCACUAACGGUUCUCAGCUAAUUUUCACUUACUAUCGUACCGUACUAUAUUAUAUCUAGAUCAGACUAUCUAUGACUUCAUUUUAUCUUCACAACAAUUUUGAAUGGCAGAAUGUCUUCUUCCUAAUUUCAGGUGGAACAGAAAGCAUGAGUGAUGUGCCCAAGGUUAUUGCUGAUAAUUGCAGAGCUGAUCUAGCAUAUGUGUCCUCUGACUCAUGACUCCCAUGCAUAAAAUACUCCUUCAGAUGGUUAAGAUUCUCCAGUAUGUUUCAGCAGGCCAGCAUUCUAGAGAGGGGGAGCAUGACUGUGAGAUCUGACAGAGUGAGAAUCUAAGUGGCUUUAAGCCAGAACUUGCCUGGGUCUCCCAGUUUGGUAACCUCUGGAUUUUUUCUUGCUUUUAUCUUGGGGUGAAGGAGUAAUUUCUGGCAGUGAGUCAUCCCUGUGCACUUACAAAACAGGGCAGAUAAUUUCUUGUACAUCUGAAGCACUUUCCCUUUACUCCUUCUUGCAUUCUAGGGAAGAGAUUAUCUCAGUAAUUCUUACGACAUAUCUGGCUCACAAAUAAAGGAUAGCUUUCGAGGGAGUAUGCCAUUGUUUUUCAUAAAAACUUUAUGGGCUCCUUUAAUUUUUCAUAUCUGACAUCUUUGGCAUUGGAUCUUGACUUGGAGACAGAAUUCUCUUAUUGCAAAACAUAUGUUCUAUUCAGAGAAUUCCAUGGAGGACGGCUAUGGGACCCUCUUCAGUCAUCCGUUGGGUGAUCCUUAAUGGUUAGUCACCAUCUUUCUUACUACAGGAUCUAUAGUAUAAAGAGGUCAACCUUCAACUCUUUGAUUUCAUGUACCACCCUAGAUCUCAAAUUAGAGGUCAUUUCUUAAAUUAGAAUGACCAAGUAGACUCAGAUGAUUUCCAGUGUUUCUUCAUGCUUCAUCAGUCUAUGAUUUGGAGCCUGUUAUCAUAAUCAGAAGCUUUUCUGGAAUGGCAAAAUACCAGAUUUUAGUUGUUUUAGUGUCAGACCUAAGAGCGUACAAACAAUGAAUGUCUUAGCUUGGGCCUUCACUGAAGGAUAUGAGGGAAUGCCCUGGGUGUUUCCUGGUGGAGUAAAGACUGAAGUGUUGGUAAUGGAAGGUGUGUGAUGGAAGAGGGAAAAUGGGAAGUUUUCUGUUUAGGAGAGUGGAAAGAACCUGAGAGGAGCAGAUUAUGUUUGUAGAGGGGGCAAGAGACCCAAUUAGAAGAGCCUGACCAAAACAGCCUCUGAAUUUCCUCAUAUAAUGAGAACAUAAAAGGGUUGAAACCUGCAAAUUGAAGGUAAAGGACAGGAGGAGUAUCAAACAAAGGAUAAAACAUCAAUUAGGAAGAAACUCUUCAGGGACGUUAACUGGGAAAUAGUGAAUAAGAAACUUAAAUCAAUUUUAAGUCUUAACUGUGGGGAAUUUGGACUUUGAGUUACUUUGGAGAAUUUUUUAAGUGUGGGAGGUUAAAAGCAAACAUUUUGUUGGCUUUGGCCUGUAGGAUAGAUCAGGCAGAAAGCCCCACAGGGUCACCAGCACUCCCAUUGAGAGUGUGGAGGUAGAAUCUGGACUUAGGGGUCAAAGUGGAGUAGGUGGGAAGGAAGACUCGGUCAUCCUGAUGGCUGCCUCUCACCAUCCCAGGUGCCUCUGGCUCUCCCACCAUGGAUGGAGAGGACACAAUGGCAGAUUCUCUACUGCCUCAGCCUUGAAUGGUUGGCUUGAUCAUGGUUUUGAAGGGCUUUUGUUUGUUGGGAAAAUUCAGCUGUCUGUUUGGCAGAAGGAAGAGGCAAUAGAAGGACUCUGGGGUAUGGUUUGAGUUUCUCAAAACCAAUCAGAGAGGACUCCUCCAUCUUAUAUGGACUAUAAUUUAUUUCUGGAAUGGUUCUGACUGCUCUGAAAGGACCCUAAGGAUCUCCUCCCAUAGUGUGAGGAGAUUGCCCAGAUCUCAGGCCCACAUUGCAAUUCAAGAAGCAUUUGACAGUCAGCAAUCUGGUUGCUGAGGUCUCUGUGUUAGUGAUCGGGAGGGAGAAGGCUGUGCUGGAAGUAUAUGGGCGUGGGAACCAGAAAGCAGGCAUGCUGCUCUACUGCACUCUCUCCACAACCUCCAGCUGUACACUCUAGAUAAUCCUUGAUCUUGUCAAGAUCAGAUACAACAGUGAUGUGGAAGUGUUUUGUCAUAUGUAAACCAUUAUGUGUUGGACAUGGGAGAUGAUAUUAUCCUUAUUAUUCUUAUUAUAUUUUCUUGACAUUUUUAUUCCUGUGGGGAUUGGUUAGACACUGUUAAGCCAUGGAAGGAGAGGCCUUCCACCAGGCUAAGGCUAGUUUGGGUUCAGAAAGAACUAAGCAGUGCAUUUUGGGGCAUUUGCAGCUGUCCAUGUAAGUGAGCCAAGAAGUAGGCAGAUUGAGUUUCUUUGCGCCAGCUAAUGCUGAAUCUCUUAGCUUUCCUUUGCCAGCAGAAGCCACCACUGGUGUUUUUCUCUUAAUCUCAUUAACUGAUUUGUUUGUAUAAAGUGAAGCAGUGAAUUUUUUUUCACAUCCAAUGUUAAGCUAAGAACUGCUGUAGACCAUUCAGGAUUGGACUGCAUUCAGAGAAAGUGCAUCAUUACCUGUUUUAAUGAUGAAGAAUGAUGUAGCUUAAAAAGGAAUUAGUAUUGGUACAUCUCCCUUGAAGCACAUAGCAUAUGUAAAAUUUUAUAUUUGCAUAAUUAAUAAAUUAGGGGUGACUCUUUUUACAGAAAAUAGAAUAUAUCCUAUCAAUGGACUUAUAGCAGGUUUCCUUUAAAUAAGCAUCCCUAGUACCUUUAUAAUUUGAUUGACAUAUUUCACAUACUUGUUUUACAAAGAAAGCCACAUCUGGAUAUUAAAAACCAGAGUGUGCAUGUUUUGGAAUUGGGCUCUUUAAAAAACAAUUUUUGCCACUGCUUGUAAAAUUUCAGUAAAGCCAACAUCACUUCAUCAAAGAAACAAAACCCCCCAAAUUUCCAAACCUCUUGUGUAACAGAGUUCCAAGCCUCAGCUCCCAAUUUUUAUUUUUUAUUUAGAGAAAUAUGUAAUGUAUCUAAAUUUUGGUACCAGAAAAAAAUUGGGUCCCCUUGAAAUUUCACUGUAAUAGGGUUUGACUUGUGAGCCUUUUUUUUUUUCUUGUAACUUGGACAAAGUGGCCUAUUCUUCUCCAGGUGGUCAUCUGGCCCUUUUCUGUGUGGUAUGUGCGCAGGGCACAUAUGCAGGGCAGGAAUCCCCUCAGGUCUAACGUGAGGCUCCUUGAAGGUGGGCCCCUGGGAGAGUGGAGCGGGGAAGGUACCUCUUCCCCCCUCCCCCUCCCCUCUCUACCUCACCUCCCUCCGUCCUCCGCAAUACAGGCGAACUGUGUUUUAUUGGAGGGAAACCUUGGUUUCUAAAGUGAAUUUGAGGCGUGCCCUCCAAAUUACUUCCCUGCGUUUCUUUGAGGCUUUCGGGGUUGUCAGCUUGACCCCGCCGUGUCCACUAUAUCCGUGACUGCUGUCUGUGGAGAAUUCUGUGCUCUGGGCAAGGCUCCUAGCUGCGAUUUUUCAGUAAAAACCCUUCUUCCCCUGCCUGAGACGGAGCCUCCAGCCAGCAGCCGGUUUCCAGGCGGCGGGGCUGGAGAAUAGGAUCUUUGUGGGGCGCCGGCGGCGGAGCCCGAGCCUUGGACCCGGGCCUCCCGCAGGGAGCGGUCAAGUUCUGCUUUCGGAGCUUGCGCCCCACCCGUUUCACUGCCCCUGGGCAGGGUAACAGGGGCAAAGCUAAAUAAACCCAAGAAGCAGAAAGAGGGCGUUUUCCCUCGUUCUUUUCCUAAGCGGCAAAGCUUUUCCAUUUUAAUAUCACCUGCCACAUUUUAGAAAAUUAUAGUGUAGCAGAGCCGAAUGGCUUGUCAGCAAUGACUGAUAACGCGUCGUGUGUUAUUACUACCACCUCUGCUGGGAGUGUCUACCCGGAAUCCACGGAAUCCUCCUCUCCAUGGACAGACCCCGGGGGAGCGGGGUGGGGGAGCCCUACAGAAUCCUGCGCUUGGCGUGUAGUGCCCGUGGGCAUUUACCAGCAGGAAGCUUUCAUUAGAUUCUCAAAAGGGUCUACAUAUCAAAAAAAGGUGAGAAACUACUGACCAAGUCCAAAGUCUUCUCAAUCACUUCCCCUCAUCUUCCAACACACACACACACACGCACACACACACACACACACACACACACACACACACACACACAGUUUUACAGACGAGGAGACAGAAUCCAGAAGAGGUGGGGUGACAGCCAGUGAGGUGUAGGGCUGAGGCUAGAACUCCUGUGCCUACUCUGAUCCAGCACAAAAGAUGUUGGGCCCACAUCAGGGGGACAGAAUUGCUUUAGAACCUUUUCUAUGAGCCCAGCAGUCAUGCGACAUACUUCAGAUAACUCAUGUUGCACCUCAGGACAGUCCUCUCUUUAUAAGAUGACCUUUAAUCAUAUUCUGUCCACGCCUUGCCCAGCGCGGGCUUUGCUCACAGGAGCUGCUCACUCUGUUGAGUGAGUGAACCCCCGUGAAGAGCAGCACAAGAAAGACAGCUUCAUAUCUUUAUACAACCAGCUGCUGGAGCUCAAGAAUUACGAAUCCUGUGCUUCCCUGGUGGCGCAGUGGUUGAGAGUCCGCCUGCCGAUGCAGGGGACGCGGGUUCGUGACCCGGUCCGGGAAGAUCCCACAUGCCGCGGAGCGGCUGGGCCCGUGAGCCAUGGCCGCUGAGCCUGCGCGUCCGGAGCCUGUGCUCCGCAACGAGAGAGGCCGCAACUGUGAGAGGCCCGCGUACCGCAAAAAAAAAAAAAAAAAAAAAUUACGAAUCCUUCAUUUUCCUUCCACUUUCCUCACCCCCACGACCCUGGUUCUUGGGGCAGUUGUUAGCAGAAGGAGGCAGCCCGGACUUGAAACCACUCUUUCCUUGCAAGCUCCCUCGACAGCUAGUUAAGGGCCUGCAAACACAAGUGUAAAUGCUUCAGAGUCAGGGUAACUUCUUAUAAAGUUAGUCAUUUAUGUAAGGGUAACAACUUCUCUUAAUUUAUCUGAUUUGUAAGUUUGGAUAUGUGUUUUAAACAUUGGAUAGCAUUUAUUUAUAAUUGUUGGGGAGGCCUGGGCUCUAAUUUAGAUUUGUUUACUGCUCGACUGGGAUAUUAUACAAUAAUAAUAGGUGGAAAGAGAAAAUUGGUGAGUACAUAUGAUCUGUGAUCUGUGCUGGGCUCAGAGGGGGGUAGGUAAAAGUGUUUACAUCUGGGUCACAGAGUUUAUAAGGCCUAAUGACAAAAACUUUAAGUUGGCAAUGAAAGGAACAUCAAAGGAAAGUAAAAAAAAAAAAAUGUCCAGUUAAGAAAUACUUAUUUGAAGAGCUGUAGUUUGUCAGGGAAGUGAAAGGUCAGUUCAAGCUGUGUCUGUCUAGGAUGACUUUGUAAAAGAAAUAGAUUUAUUUUGUUUUAGGUAGAUUCCUGAUAGAAGAGGAAAAUGAAAGGAUAUUCUAGGAGGAAUAGUGGGGGGAGCCAGUGUACAAGUAGAGAAUGCCCACAUUUUGUUUCCAUUUUGAUAGGAUUUUGUUUUUUAAAAAAGCUUUUUAAAAAAUUGAUUGCUUUGCCAGUGAAGUGUUAGGUGCAUUACAUGCAUUAUUUAAUUUAAUCAUCACAACAGGAAGCUGGUAGUAGUAUUAUCCUCACUUUACAGUUGGAGCAAACUGGAGUUUGGAAAACUGAAGGGUCUUCUUCAGGUUUGCACAGCUAGGAGCCAGGAUUCAAAUCCAGUCGUCUGGCUCCAAAGCUGUAUUGCUCCAGUGUCCGAUAUGGACACUGUUAGGGCUGGAAUGAAAGUGUCAUGUAUUAGAAUAAAGGGAGUGACUUCCCUGGUGGUCCAGUGGUUAAAACUUCACCUUAUGAACUUUCAUCAAAUCUUUAACCGUGGUCAUUUUUAAGUCUUUUGUCAUUUACAGACAGUUGCGGAUGUACUCUGAUGCUUUGGAAAUAUGUUCCUAUAAAAGGGUUUCAUCUUCAAGGAAUUCAUGGAAAAGACUGACAAGUACAGGUUUCUGGUAACUGACUAUGCUGCUGAACUGAAUGAACAAGCAUUUUCAGAACUCGAAUGGAAAACUGAUGAACUCAUAAAAGUGCUAACAAAAGAUCAAGAUGAAAAAAAAUUAAUUACAUGGGACUGAGUGAACUGAUGAGGAUGAUUAUAAUUUUUGUGACUUUCUGUUUGAAUUUUAAAAAAAAAGUCCCACAAGGACUCAGAGGCAAAAAAUAUACAAACCAAUUUUCACUGCAAAGUAAAGGAGCUGUAACAGUGGAGGAUUCCUGGACUGAAUGUCAAUAUUAUGACAUAGUAUGAGUGUGUUUCGUGUUUGAUAAUUGCAAUCAUUGUUGCUCCUGUUGUGGUCAUGCAUUUACAAUGCUUGGUGUCAGUCUAUUUAUCUCUUGUAAAAAUAAAAUACAGUGUGUGUGUGUGGAAAAAAAAAAAAAAAAAGACCCAGGAACUAGGAGAAGGAAAAGGUUUAUGAUGCUUCUCUUUUUAAAAACAAAAAUUUUCUUUUGACUUAUUAAUAAACUAUAGAGAAAAUUGAAAAAAAAUUAGAGAAAAGUACAAUAGGAUCUUCACAUU